CUCUUAUAUACUCCCACAAACAAGUGCAGCUCCCCAACUAGACACGUCCAGACACGAUGGCUUUUGUGUUCUAAGAUGAUCAGACACCAUUGCUUCCACUAGGAUGGCGCUGUGCCCCACUGGAGAGUGAGAUCUGGGGUGAGCAACAGUCACAGAAACGGCAGGUUUCUGCCGGGUGUAGCAAUGCCAGGACAACCCGAGGCAUGUGGCACAGGGGCCAGGCAGGAUGGGAGAGGCGGCUAUCCUGGAAUCUGACUUCAGGAGAGAUGCUAAUAGACUCCCCAGAGUCACUGCCAAGGACUAUGCUGCCUAAGACUGAAUAGCCGCUCAGCCUCUGCUACCAGAGCAACCAGCACCCACAGCCGGGCAUAGAGACGGAGCUGCUCAGCUCAAGGCUACCAGUCUGCUGACCUUUACAGAGACAGGCUCUUCGGGAACACUCUCACUUUUGACUCUCACCAAAGGAUGCCCCUUUGCUUCCUGUAAAAACAAGAGGAUGGAAUAACUUGAUUUCAAAUAACACU
rnacentral:lncRNA from 1 species